rnacentral:rRNA from 1 species
AUACAGAGGGUGCGAGCGUUAAUCGGAAUUACUGGGCGUAAAGCGCGCGUAGGCGGUUUGAUAAGUCGGAUGUGAAAUCCCCGGGCUCAACCUGGGAAUUGCAUUCGAUACUGUCAGGCUAGAGUGUGGUAGAGGGAAGUGGAAUUUCCGGUGUAGCGGUGAAAUGCGUAGAUAUCGGAAGGAACACCAGUGGCGAAGGCGGCUUCCUGGACCAACACUGACGCUGAGGUGCGAAAGCGUGGGGAGCAAACAGGAUUAGAAACCCUAGUAGUCC